AUUGAACGCUGGCGGCAUGCUUUACACAUGCAAGUCGAACGGCAGCGCGGGCUUCGGCCUGGCGGCGAGUGGCGAACGGGUGAGUAAUGCAUCGGAACGUGCCCAGUAGUGGGGGGUAGCCCGGCGAAAGCCGGAUUAAUACCGCAUACGACCUGCGGGUGAAAGCGGGGGAGCGAAGGGCCUCGCGCGAGGGGAGCGGCCGAUGUCGGAUUAGCUAGUUGGUGGGGUGAAGGCUUACCAAGGCGACGAUCCGUAGCUGGUCGGAGAGGACGACCAGCCACACUGGGACUGAGACACGGCCCAGACUCCUACGGGAGGCAGCCGUGGGGAAUUUUGGACAAUGGGGGCAACCCUGAUCCAGCCAUGCCGCGUGCGGGAAGAAGGCCUUCGGGUUGUAAACCGCUUUUGUUCGGGAAGAAAUCCUCUGGGCUAAUACCCCGGGGGGAUGACGGUACCGGAAGAAUAAGCACCGGCUAACUACGUG
rnacentral:rRNA from 1 species